CCUACGGGAGGCAGCAGUGGGGAAUAUUGGACAAUGGGGGAAACCCUGAUCCAGCGACGCCGCGUGAGUGAAGAAGUAUUUCGGUACGUAAAGCUCUAUCAGCAGGAAAGAAAAUGACGGUACCUGACUAAGAAGCCCCGGCUAACUACGUGCCAGCAGCCGCGGUAAUACGUAGGGGGCAAGCGUUAUCCGGAUGUACUGGGUGUAAAGGGAGCGUAGACGGCAGCGCAAGUCUGGAGUGAAAUGCCGGGGCUCAACCCCGGAACUGCUCUGGAAACUGUGAAGCUGGAGUGCAGGAGAGGUAAGCGGAAUUCCUGGUGUAGCGGUGAAAUGCGUAGAUAUCAGGAGGAACACCGGCGGCGAAGGCGGCUUACUGGACUGUAACUGACGUUGAGGCUCGAAGGCGUGGGGAGCAAACAGGAUUAGAUACCCCUGUAGUC
rnacentral:rRNA from 1 species